AGAGUUUGAUCCUGGCUCAGAACUAACGCUGGCGGCGUGCCUAACACAUGCAAGUCGAGCGGUUGCCAUUUUGUAGCAAUACAGAAGAAGCGAUAGCGGCAGACGGGUGAGUAACACGUAACCAAUCUAUCCUACCGUCCGGGAUAACUAGCCGAAAGGUUAGCUAAUACCUGAUACGAUCACCGAGCGGCAUCGCUUGG
rnacentral:rRNA from 1 species